AUGCUUUACACAUGCAAGUCGAACGGUAACAGGGUGCUUGCACCGCUGACGAGUGGCGAACGGGUGAGUAAUGCGUCGGAAUGUACCGUGUNAUGGGGGAUAGCUCGGCGAAAGCCGGAUUAAUACCGCAUACGCCCUGAGGGGGAAAGUGGGGGACCGUAAGGCCUCACGUUAUACGAGCAGCCGACGUCUGAUUAGCUAGUUGGUGAGGUAAAGGCUCACCAAGGCUUCGAUCAGUAGCGGGUCUGAGAGGAUGAUCCGCCACACUGGGACUGAGACACGGCCCAGACUCCUACGGGAGGCAGCAGUGGGGAAUUUUGGACAAUGGGCGCAAGCCUGAUCCAGCCAUGCCGCGUGUCUGAAGAAGGCCUUCGGGUUGUAAAGGACUUUUGUUCGGGAGGAAAUCCCGCUGGUUAAUACCUGGCGGGGAUGACAGUACCGGAGAAUAAGCACCGGCUAACUACGUGCCAGCAGC
rnacentral:rRNA from 1 species